AUCUUUGCGCCUGGGGCAAUGACGCAGCUAGUGAGGUUCUAACCGAGGCGGGGCUAUUGCUGGUUGAAGAAAACUAUCUAACUGUUACUCCCGGUACAAGUUUUGUCAAUAAAGCAGAUGGUUUACUUCUACUUUGUGCUAAAUACAUUAACAAUGUUUGAAGUUGUUAUUACCUAUAAAAACU
rnacentral:snRNA from 1 species